rnacentral:rRNA from 1 species
AUUGAACGCUGGCGGCAGGCUUAACACAUGCAAGUCGAGCGGGGAAAGGUAGCUUGCUACUUGACCUAGCGGCGGACGGGUGAGUAAUGCUUAGGAAUCUGCCUAUUAGUGGGGGACAACAUCUCGAAAGGGAUGCUAAUACCGCAUACGUCCUACGGGAGAAAGCAGGGGACCUUCGGGCCUUGCGCUAAUAGAUGAGCCUAAGUCGAAUUAGCUAGUUGGUGGGGUAAAGGCCUACCAAGGCGACGAUCUGUAGCGGGUCUGAGAGGAUGAUCCGCCACACUGGGACUGAGACACGGCCCAGACUCCUACGGGAGGCAGCAGUGGGGAAUAUUGGACAAUGGGGGGAACCCUGAUCCAGCCAUGCCGCGUGUGUGGAGAAGGCCUCUUGGUUGUAAAGCACUUUAAGCGAGGAGGAGGCUACCGAGAUUAAUACUCUUGGAUAGUGGACGUUACUCGCAGAAUAAGCACCGGCUAACUCUGUGCCAGCCGCCGCCGUAAGAC